UUCGUAGCCGUUUGGUGGAACCUAUCCUAUAAUAAUAUCAAUUUAUAAUAAUAUCAAUUUAUAAUAACACCCUAUAUUGCAAAAAUUUCAAUUAUUAAUAGAUGAUUCAAGCAUGGCAGAUGCUGAAGUAACCGAAUGGGAUCCAAUGUCCUGCAGUCUUCCACUUGAUGAUAAGGUCAAAGAGAUUUUGUCUUACUAUCCAUCCAAUUAUAAACAAUCUGCAGUGAUCCCUCUGCUUGAUCUUGCCCAACAGCAUCCUGUUUAAUGAGAUCAGCUAGUGAUAGCAACGGAUAUCCGAAGACAAAUAUUUAAGACUUUUAUAUAAUUAGAUGAUAUUAAAAUAUUGAAGUUGUUGUUUUAUUUUACUU